rnacentral:rRNA from 1 species
UACCAGACUCCUACGGGAGGCAGCAGUGGGGGAUAUUGCACAAUGGGCGCAAGCCUGAUGCAGCGACGCCGCGUGAGCGAAGAAGUAUUUCGGUAUGUAAAGCUCUAUCAGCAGGGAAGAAAAUGACGGUACCUGACUAAGAAGCUCCGGCUAAAUACGUGCCAGCAGCCGCGGUAAUACGUAUGGAGCAAGCGUUAUCCGGAAUUACUGGGUGUAAAGGGAGCGUAGGCGGCAAGGCAAGUCUGAUGUGAAAACCCGAGGCUCAACCACGGGAGUGCAUUGGAAACUGGCGGGCUGGAGUGCCGGAGAGGUAAGCGGAAUUCCUAGUGUAGCGGUGAAAUGCGUAGAUAUUAGGAGGAACACCAGUGGCGAAGGCGGCUUACUGGACGGCAACUGACGCUGAGGCUCGAAAGCGUGGGGAGCAAACAGGAUUAGAUACCCUGGUA